rnacentral:rRNA from 1 species
CAGCAGCCGCGGGAAUACCGAGGGUGCAAGCGUUAAUCGGAUUUACUGGGCGUAAAGCGUGCGUAGGCGGCUUCUUAAGUCGGAUGUGAAAUCCCUGAGCUUAACUUAGGAAUUGCAUUCGAUACUGGGAAGCUAGAGUAUGGGAGAGGAUGGUAGAAUUCCAGGUGUAGCGGUGAAAUGCGUAGAGAUCUGGAGGAAUACCGAUGGCGAAGGCAGCCAUCUGGCCUAAUACUGACGCUGAGGUACGAAAGCAUGGGGAGCAAACAGGAUUAGAUACCCCUGUAGUCCCUGUCUCUUAUAU